UAACUAAUGAACUUGUAAAGUAUAUAUUUUGAAAAUAUAAUAAAGUUAAUAAAUUAACUAUUAGUU
rnacentral:tRNA from 1 species